AUAGCGUAUAUUAAAGUUGUUGCAGUUAAAAAGCUCGUAGUUGAACCUUGGGCCUGGCUGGCCGGUCCGCCUCACCGCGUGCACUGGUCCGGCCGGGCCUUUCCUUCUGGGGAGUCGCAUGCCCUUCACUGGGUGUGUCGGGGAACCAGGACUUUUACUUUGAAAAAAUUAGAGUGUUCAAAGCAGGCCUAUGCUCGAAUACAUUAGCAUGGAAUAAUAGAAUAGGACGUGUGGUUCUAUUUUGUUGGUUUCUAGGACCACCGUAAUGAUUAAUAGGGUCAGUCGGGGGCAUCAGUAUUCAAUUGUCAGAGGUGAAAUUCUUGGAUUUAUUGAAGACUAACUACUG
rnacentral:rRNA from 1 species